CGACAUCAUUACAAAUAAAUAAACAAAAAAAAAAAAAAAAAAAUUGAGGAUUGCGAAAGGUAGCAGUGGUCUACAAACUUUUUUCGAAUUUUUCAAUCAGGUCUAUGGAUUGUUUGUUUUAUUUUUGGGUGUAAUUUGAGCCGGGGUAGUUAUCAUAUACUGUUAUUCUGAGAUACAUGUGUGGGGGCAUCAAGAGAUGUCUAGUUAGUGUGCAUAAGAAAAUAAGCUCAACUAUCAUGGAGGCUGUAGGUUAUCCUUAUUUGGUUAUAGUGAGAAAGCUUCGUAAAGAUGAGAUACCUUGGUCGACCUAGGCUGGUAACGUCUGCCUCAACCUCUAUCAAAACAUGAUACCAUAAUCUUUGUGCUCCCAACAAAUUCAGUCAUAAAAUAGGGGCUGUGUUUUGCGCCUCUAAUUUGUUCUUGCUAUCAUGUGUAUGGAUGUCUUCGCAAAGAUCAAACAUUACUAUGCUCGAUGUUAUGUGUGUUUCUCGUCAGAUAAAAGUCAUUUCACUGCGGAAGAUGGGAGAGUUCAAUCUUGACUAAAGUGGCUAUUCAAUGGGCCAUGGAUAUCUAGUUUAUGGAUGAACUUCACGUGUCUGUAACUCCCCGGAGCUCAGGACUUCCACAAUUAAUGUCACACCCUAACUCCUACAGGUAUAGGGUUAAUUAACUAGCCAUCCUUCUUCUUGAAGGACAUAACCUCAAAUGCAAACGAGUAUGGCAUAUUAUCAAAAUAUAUGUCCAUCUAUUUAUUUGA